rnacentral:rRNA from 1 species
GUCUAUAGUCAUGCUACGCUGAACAAGCCUGAUCUCGGAAGCUAAGCAGGGUCUAGCCUGGUUAGUACUUGGGAGACCACCUAAGAAGACCAGACGCUAUAGACG